rnacentral:rRNA from 1 species
UACGUAGGGGGCAAGCGUUGUCCGGAAUCAUUGGGCGUAAAGCGCGUGUAGGCGGCCCGAUAAGUCCGCUGUGAAAGUCCAGGGCUCAACCCUGGGAUGCCGGUGGAUACUGUCGGGCUCGAGUCCGGAAGAGGCGAGUGAAAUUCCUGGUGUAGCGGUGAAAUGCGCAGAUAUCAGGAGGAACACCAAUGGCGAAGGCAGCUCGCUGGGACGUGACUGACGCUGAGACGCGAAAGCGUGGGAGCAAACAGG